AGCAAACGUUGGCGGCGUGCCUAAUACAUGCAAGUCGAACGAGAGGCCCCUUCGGGGGUGGACAGUGGCGCACGGGUGAGUAACGCGUGGAUAAUCUGCCCUCUAGUGGGGAACAACUAACCGAAAGGUUAGCUAAUACCGCAUAAGACCACAGUACCUGCGGAUACAGUGGUUAAAGAUUUAUCGCUAGAGGAUGAGUCCGGGUCCGAUUAGCUUGUUGGUGGGGUAAAGGCCUACCAAGGCGACGAUCGGUAGCUGGUCUGAGAGGAUGAUCAGCCACACUGGAACUGAGACACGGUCCAG
rnacentral:rRNA from 1 species